rnacentral:rRNA from 1 species
UACAGAGGUCCCAAGCGUUGUUCGGAUUCACUGGGCGUAAAGGGUGCGUAGGUGGUCAGGUAAGUCUGAUGUGAAAUCUCUGGGCUCAACCCAGAAACUGCAUUGGAUACUAACUGGCUAGAGGAGUGGAGGGGGGACUGGAAUACUUGGUGUAGCAGUGAAAUGCGUAGAUAUCAAGUGGAACACCAGUGGCGAAGGCGAGUCCCUGGACACUUCCUGACACUGAGGCACGAAAGCUAGGGGAGCAAACAGG